rnacentral:rRNA from 1 species
UACAGAGGGUGCAAGCGUUAAUCGGACUUACUGGGCGUAAAGCGCACGUAGGCGGGAAGAUAAGUUUGAUGUGAAAGCCCUGGGCUUAACCUGGGAAUGGCGUUGAAGACUGUUUUUCUAGGGUCGGACAGAGGGUUGUGGAAUUUCCGGUGUAGCGGUGAAAUGCGUAGAGAUCGGAAAGAACACCAGUGGCGAAGGCGACGGCCUGGGUCCAGACUGACACUGAGGGGCGAAAGCGUGGGGAGCAAACAGG